UACGGAGGGUGCAAACGUUGCUCGGAAUCAUUGGGCGUAAAGCGCACGUAGGCGGACCAGCAAGUUAGGGGUGAAAUCCCGGGGCUCAACCCCGGAACUGCCUUUAAAACUGUUGGUCUGGAGGUCGAGAGAGGUGAGUGGAACUGCGAGUGUAGAGGUGAAAUUCGUAGAUAUUCGCAAGAACACCAGUGGCGAAGGCGGCUCACUGGCCCGGUACUGACGCUGAGGCACGAAAGCGUGGGGAGCAAACAGG
rnacentral:rRNA from 1 species